GGCCGCGUGGCCCAAUGGCAAGGCGUCUGACUACGAAUCAGGAGACUCUGGGUUCGAGCCCCAGCGUGGUCA
rnacentral:tRNA from 3 species